GAUGAACGCUGGCGGCGUGCUUAACACAUGCAAGUCGAACGAUGAAGCCCAGCUUGCUGGGUGGAUUAGUGGCGAACGGGUGAGUAACACGCGAGUAACCUGCCCCCGACUCUGGGAUAAGCCCGGGAAACUGGGUCUAAUACCGGAUAUGACCUCGCACCGCAUGGUGCGGGGUGGAAAGAUUUAUCGGUGGGGGAUGGACUCGCGGCCUAUCAGCUUGUUGGUGAGGUAAUGGCUCACCAAGGCGACGACGGGUAGCCGGCCUGAGAGGGUGACCGGCCACACUGGGGCUGAGACACGGCCCAGACUCCUACGGGAGGCAGCAGUGGGGAAUAUUGCACAAUGGGCGAAAGCCUGAUGCAGCGACGCCGCGUGAGGGAUGACGGCCUUCGGGUUGUAAACCUCUUUCAGUAGGGAAGAAGCGAAAGUGACGGUACCUGCAGAAGAAGCGCCGGCUAACUACGUGCCAGCAGCCGCGGUAAAAC
rnacentral:rRNA from 1 species